UACGGAGGGAGCUAGCGUUGUUCGGAAUCACUGGGCGUAAAGCGUGCGUAGGCGGUGACUCAAGUCAGAGGUGAAAGCCUGGAGCUCAACUCCAGAACUGCCUUUGAAACUAGGUCGCUAGAAUGUCGGAGAGGUGAGUGGAAUUCCGAGUGUAGAGGUGAAAUUCGUAGAUAUUCGGAAGAACACCAGUGGCGAAGGCGGCUCACUGGACGACUAUUGACGCUGAGGCACGAAAGCGUGGGGAGCAAACAGG
rnacentral:rRNA from 1 species